GCACAACGCGAAGAACCUUACCCACCUUUGACAUGUACGGAAUUUGCCAGAGAUGGCUUAGUGCUCGAAAGAGAACCGUAACACAGGUGCUGCAUGGCUGUCGUCAGCUCGUGUCGUGAGAUGUUGGGUUAAGUCCCGCAACGAGCGCAACCCUUGCCAUUAGUUGCUACGAAAGGGCACUCUAAUGGGACUGCCGGUGACAAACCGGAGGAAGGUGGGGAUGACGUCAAGUCCUCAUGGCCCUUAUAGGUGGGGCUACACACGUCAUACAAUGGCUGGUACAAAGGGUUGCCAACCCGCGAGGGGGAGCCAAUCCCAUAAAGCCAGUCGUAGUCCGGAUCGCAGUCUGCAACUCGACUGCGUGAAGUCGGAAUCGCUAGUAAUCGUGGAUCAGCAUGUCACGGUGAAUACGUUCCCGGGUCUUGUACACACCG
rnacentral:rRNA from 1 species